CCUCCCUGCCCGCAGUGUACUCGAACGCGCUGCAGGAGUCGGCCAACAGCAUCCUGUACAACGGGCUGAUCGAGGAGCUGGUGGACGUGCUGCAGAUCACCGACAAGCAGCUGAUGGUGAGCCUGGGACACCUGUGCCACACCUGGGCUGGCACCUGGCACCUGGGCUGGCACCUGGCACCUGGCACCUGGGCUGGCACCUGGCACCUGGGCUGGCACCUGUGCCACACCUGGGCUGGCACCUGGCACCUGGCACCUGUCACCUGGGCUGGCACCUGUCACCUGGGCUGGCACCUGUCACCUGGGCUGGCACCUGUCACUUGUCACCUGUCACCUGGGCUGGCACCUGGCACCUGGGCUGGCACCUGGACAGUUACCUGGCACCUGUGCUCCUCACCUGUGCUGUCAGCCGUACUGUUAACUGUGCUGUCACCUGUGCUAUCACCUGUACCCUCGUUUGUGCUGUCACCUGUACUGUCACCUGUAUCCUAUACUGUCACCUGUGCUAGCACCUGGGCUGUUGCCUGUGCUGUCACUUGUACCCUCACCUGUCCCUUCAUCUGUGUUGUCAGCUGUUCUGUUACCUGUGCUGUUACCUGUGCCGUCACCUGUACUCUCACCUGUACCUGUCAGCUGUGCUGUCCCCUGUGUUGUCACCUGUACCUUCAUCUGUACUGUCACCUGUGUCAUCACCUGUGCCAUUACCUGUCCUGUCAGCUGUUCCCUCACCUGUGCCAUCAUCUGUCGUGUUUCCUGUUCCCUCACCUGUUCCCUUACCUGUCCCUUACUGGUCAGCUGUGCUUUCACCUGUCCUGCACCUGUUCUUUAACCGUGCUGAACCUGUCGCUUCUCUUGUCUUACACCUGUCACCUGAUUGUGCUACACCUGUCCUGCACCUGUUCUUUAACUGUGCUGAACCUGUCACUUCGCUUGUCUUACACCUGUCACCUGGUUGUGCUACACCUGUCCUGCACCUGUUGUACUCCUGUUGUUAUACGCGUCUUGUGUGCGUUAUUUCACCUGUUCCUUCACCUGGAACAUUUCCUGUCCCCCCUGCACCCCUGACAUGUCCCCCCGUGUCCUCACCUGUCCCCCCGUGUCCCUCACCUGUCCCUCACCUGUCCCCCCUGUGUCCCUCACCUGUCCCCCCGUGUCCCUCACCUGUCCCCCUGUGUCCCUCACCUGUACUCCUGUGUUCCUGACACGUCCCUGACAUGUCCCCCUGUGUCCCUNNNNNNNNNNNN
rnacentral:lncRNA from 1 species